rnacentral:rRNA from 1 species
CCUACGGGAGGCAGCAGUAGGGAAUCUUCCGCAAUGGACGAAAGUCUGACGGAGCAACGCCGCGUGAACGAUGAAGGCCUUCGGGUCGUAAAGUUCUGCUGUUAGGGAAGAACAAGUGCUAGUUGAAUAAGCUGGCACCUUGACGGUACCUAACCAGAAAGCCACGGCUAACUACGUGCCAGCAGCCGCGGUAAUACGUAGGUGGCAAGCGUUGUCCGGAAUUAUUGGGCGUAAAGCGCGCGCAGGCGGUUUCUUAAGUCUGAUGUGAAAGCCCCCGGCUCAACCGGGGAGGGUCAUUGGAAACUGGGAAACUUGAGUGCAGAAGAGGAAAGUGGAAUUCCAAGUGUAGCGGUGAAAUGCGUAGAGAUUUGGAGGAACACCAGUGGCGAAGGCGACUUUCUGGUCUGUAACUGACGCUGAGGCGCGAAAGCGUGGGGAGCAAACAGGAUUAGAUACCCUGGUAGUCCACGCUGUAAACGAUGAGUGCUAAGUGUUAGAGGGUUUCCGCCUUUAGUGCUGAAGUUAACGCAUUAAGCACUCCGCCUGGGGAAGUCGGUCGCAAGACUGAAACUCAAAAUGAAUUGACGG